ACUCUGCCGCCAAGAUGCCC
rnacentral:misc_RNA from 1 species